GCGUAACGCGUAAGUAACUUGCCCCAAGGUAAGGAAUAACGUCGAAGAAUCGGCGCUAAUACCUCAUAAUGCAGCGGAUCCGCAUGGAUAUGUUGUUAAGGUUACCGCCUUGGGAUAGGCUUGCGUCUGAUUAGCUAGUUGGUGUGGUAAUGGCACACCAAGGCUACGAUCAGUAACUGGUCUGAGAGGAUGAUCAGUCACACUGGAACUGAGACACGGUCCAGACUCCUACGGGAGGCAGCAGUGAGGAAUAUUGGGCAAUGCACGAAAGUGUGACCCAGCAACGCCGCGUGGAGGAUGAAGGUAUUCUAUAUCGUAAACUCCUGUGAGAGCAGACGAAAGACAGAUUAUUAAUUUGGAUGACUGUAUGCUCAGAGGAAGCCCCGGCUAACUACGUG
rnacentral:rRNA from 1 species